GAGAUGAGGUCUUGGACGAAUAUGAGAGCCUGAGUCCCCGAGUCAUGCUGAUGCAUCCGGGAGUAUGGCUUAUUCGUUUCCGCAUUAUAGGUCACUGAGAAAAUGAAUGCACAAACUAUAUCAACCUAAUUACCUAGUACCUAUUAAAACAUUUCUACACUAAUAAAUAAUCUUUUUUCGAACAACCAGAUAUAUUUUAAUAAAUAAUCUAAAUUGCAUAACCAGAUAUAUUUUAAAUGUGGAAGAGCCGUAACUUACUGAUUAAACUUUAAAAGCUUCUACACCCAUGUCUGGAGUUUGAAUCCUAGACUAUACAAUUUCUUGCAGAUGAUAUGAUGCAAAGCUUAUCGUAGGUUCUAGAGGCCGUUCGUUGUGGUCAUUUGCUGCAGAGGUAGCAUGUUGAGGAUGUCGUACAUACAAGUGUUUCACGGAGAGCUUCAUCGUAGAAUCUUUAUUUGUGGAGCUGUUCAUCAAUAUCGCAUAUAUUGCAGGUAGUUGAUCAUCAACGUGUAAUUAAAGAUUAUAUGAUGA
rnacentral:lncRNA from 1 species